UAGCUAGUUGGUAGGGUAAAGGCCUACCAAGGCGACGAUCGGUAGCUGGUCUGAGAGGAUGACCAGCCACACUGGAACUGAGACACGGUCCAGACUCCUACGGGAGGCAGCAGUGGGGAAUAUUGGACAAUGGGGGCAACCCUGAUCCAGCAAUGCCGCGUGUGUGAAGAAGGCCUGAGGGUUGUAAAGCACUUUCAGUGGGGAGGAGGUUACUUAGGUUAAGAGCUAGAGUAAUGGACGUUACCUAAAGAAAAAGCACCGGCUAACUCCGUGCCAGCAGCCGCGGUAAUACGGAGGGUGCGAGCGUCAAUCGGAAUUAUUGGGCGUAAAGGGUGCGUAGGUGGUUUGAUAAGUUAUCUGUGAAAUUCCUGGGCUUAACCUGGGGUGGUCAGAUAAGACUGUUGGACUCGAGUAUAGGAGAGGGUAGUGGAAUUUCCGGUGUAGCGGUGAAGUGCGUAGAGAUCGGAAGGAACACCGGUGGCGAAGGCGGCUACCUGGCCUGAUACUGACACUGAGGCACGAAAGCGUGGGGAGCAAACAGGAUUAGAUACCCUGGUAGUCCACGCUGUAAACGAUGUCAACUAGCUGUUGGCCUUAUGAAUGAGGUUAGUGGCGC
rnacentral:rRNA from 1 species